rnacentral:rRNA from 1 species
AUACGGAGGGUGCAAGCGUUAAUCGGAAUUACUGGGCGUAAAGCGUACGCAGGCGGUUGGUUAAGCGAGAUGUGAAAUCCCCGGGCUCAACCUGGGAACUGCAUUUCGAACUGGCCAACUAGAGUAUGAGAGAGGGUGGUAGAAUUUCAGGUGUAGCGGUGAAAUGCGUAGAGAUCUGAAGGAAUACCGAUGGCGAAGGCAGCCACCUGGUUCAAUACUGACGCUCAUGUACGAAAGCGUGGGGAGCAAACAGGAUUAGAAACCCUAGUAGUCC